rnacentral:misc_RNA from 1 species
GCUUUGCUAACCCAAAAUCUCCAACAACUGCUUCAAAUUCCUCAUCCAACAGAAUGUUGGCUGCUUUCACAUCACGAUGGAUAAUUUUGGGGUCACAUUGUUCAUGCAAAUAUACUAGCCCUCUUGCUGUACCUACUGCUAUUCCUUUCCGCCUUGACCAGUCCAAAACUGGCCUGCCAUGGAUAUGAUCUUUUAAUCGUGCUGCUACACUUCCAUUUGGCAUAU